GUACGUAGUUCUUGAACUUGUACUAAAACUGGAACAAUGCAGAGAAGCAUGGCCCGUGCGCAAGGAUGACAGAAGGAAAGCAAGGGAAAAAUAAUGGAUUA
rnacentral:snRNA from 1 species